rnacentral:rRNA from 1 species
GAUGAACGCUGACAGAAUGCUUAACACAUGCAAGUCAACUUGAAUUUGGGUUUUUUAACUUAGAUUUGGGUGGCGGACGGGUGAGUAACGCGUAAAGAACUUGCCUCACAGCUAGGGACAACAUUUGGAAACGAAUGCCAAUACCUGAUAUUAUGAUUAUAAGGCAUCUUAGAAUUAUGAAAGCUAUAUGCGCUGUGAGAGAGCUUUGCGUCCCAUUAGCUAGUUGGAGAGGUAACGGCUCACCAAGGCGAUGAUGGGUAGCCGGCCUGAGAGGGUGAACGGCCACAAGGGGACUGAGACACGGCCCUUACUCCUACGGGAGGCAGCAGUGGGGAAUAUUGGACAAUGGACCAAGAGUCUGAUCCAGCAAUUCUGUGUGCACGAUGACGUUUUUCGGAAUGUAAAGUGCUUUCAGUUGGGUAGAAAAAAAUGACGGUACCAACAGAAGAAGUGACGGCUAAAUACGUG